rnacentral:rRNA from 1 species
UACGUAGGGUGCAAGCGUUAAUCGGAAUUACUGGGCGUAAAGCGUGCGCAGGCGGUUUUGUAAGUCUGUCGUGAAAUCCCCGGGCUUAACCUGGGAAUUGCGAUGAAGACUGCAAGGCUAGAAUCUGGCAGAGGGGGGUAGAAUUCCACGUGUAGCAGUGAAAUGCGUAGAGAUGUGGAGGAACACCGAUGGCGAAGGCAGCCCCCUGGGUCAAGAUUGACGCUCAUGCACGAAAGCGUGGGGAGCAAACAGG